CGGCAACAGCUCAAAUUUGAAAUCUGGCCCCCCGGGGCCCGAGUUGUAAUUUGCAGAGGAUGCUUCUGGCGCGGCGCCUUCCGAGUUCCCUGGAACGGGACGCCACAGAGGGUGAGAGCCCCGUCUGGUCGGACGCCAAGCCUGUGUGAAGCUCCUUCGAC
rnacentral:rRNA from 1 species